UUACGGCCAUAUCACGUUGAAACACAGGUUCUUGUUUGAUCACUGAAGUUGAGCAAUGCCAAGCCUGGUCUGUACCUAUAUGAGUGACCUCUUGGGAAUACCAUGUGCUGUAA